rnacentral:rRNA from 1 species
UCCACCGAAUAUCUAAGGUUUCCUGAGGAAGGCUCGUCCGCUCAGGGUUAGUCGGGACCUAAGCCGAGGCCGAUAGGCGUAGGCGAUGGACAACAGGUAGAGAUUCCUGUACCAGUGCUAAUUGUUUAACCGAUGGGGUGACACAGAAGGAUAGGGAAUCGCACGAAUGGAAAUGUGCGUCCAAGCAGUGAGUGUGAGAAGUAGGCAAAUCCGCUUCUCGCGAAGCAUGAGCUGUGAUGGGGAAGGAAAUUAAGUACGGAAGUUCCUGAUUUCACGCUGUCAAGAAAAGCCUCUAGGAAGAGUAGUACUGCCCGUACCGCAAACCGACACAGGUAGAUGAGGAGAGAAUCCUAAGGUGAGCGAGAGAACUCUCGUUAAGGAACUCGGCAAAAUGACCCCGUAACUUCGGGAGAAGGGGUGCUCUAUUAGGGUGCAAGCCCGAGAGAGCCGCAGUGAAUAGGCCCAGGCGACUGUUUAGCAAAAACACAGGUCUCUGCAAAACCGUAAGGUGACGUAUAGGGGCUGACGCCUGCCCGGUGCUGGAAGGUUAAGAGGAGUGCUUAGCUUCGGCGAAGGUACGAAUUGAAGCCCCAGUAAACGGCGGCCGUAACUAUAACGGUCCUAAGGUAGCGAAAUUCCUUGUCGGGUAAGUUCCGACCCGCACGAAAGGCGCAACGAUCUGGGCACUGUCUCAACGAGAGACUCGGUGAAAUUAUAGUACCUGUGAAGAUGCAGGUUACCCGCGACAGGACGGAAAGACCCCGUGGAGCUUUACUGCAACCUGAUAUGGAAUGUUUGUACCGCUUGUACAGGAUAGGUAGGAGCCGAAGAGACGUGUGCGCUAGCAUACGAGGAGGCAAUGGUGGGAUACUACCCUGGCUGUAUGACCAUUCUAACCCGCCACGCUUAGCGCGUGGGGAGACAGUGUCAGGUGGGCAGUUUGACUGGGGCGGUCGCCUCCUAAAGAGUAACGGAGGCGCCCAAAGGUUCCCUCAGAAUGGAUGGAAAUCAUUCGCAGAGUGUAAAGGCACAAGGGAGCUUGACUGCGAGACUGACAAGUCGAGCAGGGACGA